GCCAGCAUAGCAUAGUGGUUUGAGUAUUGGACUGCAACUACAGAGACCAGGGUUAGAUUCCCUGCUCAACCA